CUUAAACCCAUUCUGUCAUUUAACCAAAACCCUAUCCUCAUUUGCUCAAUAGAAUUUAAGAUUAAAAUUUCAAUUAACCUUUUGCCCUAGAACCAACAUCCCGCGCUUUCAUUCUUCAUUUCCCCCAAUUCAUUCCCCCCAAUAGCAGCCUCCCUCCCAACUCACCUCCGAUCCACCACUUGACAAACUCAUCGGAGUUUUGUUCGACGAUAAACCUACAUCUUCAUCAUCGAUCAAUAUCAGACUCCGCUCCGAGAAAUUAGGGAUCGAAAAGUUGUAUUUGAUCCUCAAACAAGGCUUUGAUGCUGACAGUGAUGGGAAAUUAGGGCUUCAACGAUGGGAACCGGCUCAGAUUCAAGCCGUUGUUUCCGUUGCGUAUGCGAUUGUUUGUUCAAAUCGAUCUGUUUCUGUGGAGCAAGUGGAACCGAUAGUUGUUGCUGUGAUGGAGCAGUCGAUGGAGUUUGCUCUUUGUUGGUUGGAGAAGUCAGUUGCUACCAGUGAUGAUUUAAGUUUUAUUCAGUUUCAUCCAAAACACCGUGGAGGAGGUGGCGUUGGUGGUGCCGGAAUCCGACGACACGUCCCUACCGGUGAUGACGUUUCGAGCAUGGACACUGGGUGUAGGGUCAUGCAUAGUUCUAAUAUUCCUAAACACCUUCUUCAUAUACCGAACUCAACCGUUAGCAAUAUCAGCAAUUCUGAUGCAAAUUUUUUUUAUCAUAUUUCUUUUCACUUUUGGGAUUUUUUGCUAUUUUCAUCCAGAUGACUAACUUUUUUUGCCACAAUUGUUUCUGAGAUUUGGAUUUUUUUGUCAUUUUCAUCCAAAUGUCUGACAAGAAUAACAAAGCAAAUUUGACGUUUGAUUGAAAAUGUCAAAAAAAAAUCACAAAAGUGAAAGGCAAUAUGGUACUAAAAAGUUGUUUUGCAUGAAACUGACAAAAAUGCCCAAACUCAGAGACGAUUUUGGCAAUUUACUCUUUUAAUUUUAUUAGUAACCAAGUUAUAUGUUUUUUUUUUAUUUUAUUAAUGAUAGCAAUAUCUUUUUUAUUGUUCUUCUUUUAGUGAUAACUUGGAAUUGUAAUUUUACUAAAGUUUGAGAUCCAACAUAUUUCUUCAAAUACUCUUUAAAAAAGGAAACAUGUAGUGGUGUUCAUUAUGUGGUUUUAUUCGAAUUAUUCGAAUUUGGAAAUUUUUAAAGUAAAUUCAAAAAAAAGGAUUGAAAAUUUGAAAAUUAUACAAAAAAAUAUGUAAGAAAACACGAAUAAGUAAAAUUUAUAAUAUAUUUCAAAUUUGAGUUAUUAUGGUUGGUUCGAUUCAAGAUUCCGAAAUUCAAAUUCGAUUCAGAACCGAAUCAGAAAUUCGGACUAGAUAAGAACUUGAUUCGAAUAACCCUGAAGUCGAAUUCGAAUUUAGAUCAAUUCGAAUUUUAGGUAUUUUAAUACUAAUUUAAAUAAUGAACACCCCAGACUGUCCCCAAUUAUAAGUAGUUUUAAAGUUUAACAAGAUUAAGUUUACAUGUUCGUUUGCAUAUAUUCACAAUUACACACAUUUUAGUAUCCAUAUAAUAAAAAUAUAUAUAAAUUUUGUUAAUUUUUUGCUGUUCAAAAAACCAAAAAAAAAAAAAAACCCUCGCCCAUGUGAAAGAAAAUUUCAUUUCAACAA